UUGCGGUUAAAAAGCUCGUAGUUGGAUUUCGGGCGUGGAGGUUCGGUCCGCCGUUUCGGUGUGCACUGUCUUUCUGCGUCUUUCUGUCGGGGACGCGCUUCUGGCCUUAAUUGGCUGGGACGUGGAUUCGACGAGGUUACUUUGAAAAAAUUAGAGUGUUCAAAGCAAGCUAAAGCUCUGAAUACAUUAGCAUGGAAUAACGCGAGAGGACUCGGUCCUUAUUUUGUUGGUCUUCAAGGAUGGAGUAAUGAUUAAGAGGGACAGUUGGGGGCAUUCGUAUUUCAUUGCUAGAGGUGAAAUUCUUGGAUUUAUGAAAGACGAACUUCUGCGAAAGCAUUUGCCAAGGAUGUUUUCAUUGAUCAAGAACGAAAGUUGGGGGCUCGAAGAUGAUCAGAUACCAUCCUAGUCUCAACCAUAAACGAUGCCGACUAGGGAUUGGCAGGUGUUACAUCGAUGACUCUGCCAGCACCUUAUGAGAAAUCCAAAGUUUUUGGGUUCCGGGGGGAGUAUGGUCGCAAGGCUGAAACUUAAAGGAAUUGAC
rnacentral:rRNA from 1 species